CCCCCCCAUCUGAAACCCAAGGUUUACCAAAUGUGAAAUAUAUCUGCAUAUUAUUGUAAUGAUCUCAGGCAGGAAAGCAAGUCCCGAUAAAAAUUCAUGACUCUCUGGCAGUUUUAUGGUACGUUUAUUUACAAAUUAUACCCAGAGCAGUGCUCUGAGCCUGCCGCUCUUUGCUACGAGUCGGUCACUUUGAGUCUCCGUUCCUGUCACACCACAAAGGGUGCCAAAGUCCAGACCUUCCUCUUUUGCACUUCUAUUGCACUUUAACCCUUUCAGCCCUUCUGAUUCGGGGAGAAGGUGGGUGGAUUCCCUCCCACUCUCAGAAGAGCCCUCUGAAGACUGUUUCUCUGCUGGUUGCAUAGCAACCCCCUCAAUGCCAUCUAUCUCUCCCCCUCCUCCUGCCUGCGAGCUGUCUGAGUCUGCUGCUCUGUUUGAGUCUGGGAACUCUUGGUGAAGGGGGGCCGAGCUAACCCACUCCUGCUCUGUCUGCAUUCUUUUGUCUCCAGAGUCAGACUCUGGCUCUCUCUGUACUGGCAUUCCUUCAUCUUCAGAGUUUGACUCUUCCCAGGCGUUCGAUUCAGUCGCGUCCCUGACAAUUAUUUUCAGCUAUCCUACCCCACUAAUGAAAAUAGUGCUGUGCUGUACUCUUAAGAACAUCAUUGACAGCCCAAGAUGGCUUGCUUCCCCAUUCUGUUUCCAGGGAAGACAAGAAGGAACCUUGCAGCACCUUAACAGCAUGAAACAAGGUAAGAGGAAGAUAUUUAGCUCUCCCAGAAGCAGAGCAUCUCUGCAAAUGUAGUAAACAGGAACCUGAUACUUUGGAGCAUAUUUUCUUUUCUUGUGAUUUUGACAUUUAUGCCAGAAGACAAUUAUUAGAGGCCUUACAACUCAACAGGCUCAAUUCUAUGCCACCAACGGUUCAGGACCUGCUCUCGGACAGGAAUGAUCAAAUUACUUUAAUAGUGGCUGAAUUUUUGAGUGCUGUCCAUGUAGAAAGACUAGGCCAUUAUAAAGAGAUUUAGUGGUUCUUAAUUGAUUGGUGAUGUGGUAGUGUUAUAUUGUAUUAUUUAUGCAAAUUGAUUUUCUCUGGCGUUAAAGAUCUGACUGGGACAAACCUUGUUAUGCUGAGCUCGUAUUUUGCACAAUUUGUAUACAGUGUUUGUUUGAUAAUGUGUGGUUUGCUAUGCCUAAUAAAGGAUUGACUUAUUAUAUGAGCCACCCUAGCCACUAGAAGGCUGUGAAAAUUUGUGACCCUCCUCCUGACAAAUUACUCCUUUAGGUUUGUAUUGUGUAGGAGAGGUCCGCCUUACAGGGUUGUCGUUCUGAGUCCCAAUGUUCUCUCUGAGUUUCCAGUCAUUAUUUUUCUUGAAAGGACUGGGUACUAAUGCUCCCCCUAAGUCUCCUUCCAUUUCAUCUAACAAGGUAGAGACUUCAGUUACUGUUUCCAGUUUCUUAUCUUUAAGGAACCAGCGUAGGUGUGCAGGAACCUGUCUAUAAAAUUACUCUAAACUGAUCAACUGUUUAAGUUCAUCAAAGGUUUUGAUUUUACUUCCUUCCACCCAUCUGUCCAGAGCUUUAUCAAUACGGCUACUCAGUUGCGCAUAAGUUUCUUUUAAUGUCACAAAAGGCUUUUCUGCUUUGCUCUGCAGUUAAACCAAACCGCCCUUUCAUUCUUUCUUUGAAUGUGAGAUAAUCAGAGGUUUCAUCUUCUCUUAAAUCUGAGUAUAUUUCACUCAAAGUUCCACAUAUCUGUGGAUGUAAAUACAGCAUCCAGUUUUCCUCAGGAAUAUUUAAGUCCUUACAGGUCUGUUCAAAACUUAGCAGGAAUGCCUUUGACACACUUAGGGAAAUCUCUUUACAUUAGCUGAGGUAAAGUCUCCACCCCUACCAAUGGAUAUGGCAGUUCUGCUCUCAGCUUAAUUUUCUCCAUUUUAAAAAGAAACAUGUCUUUUUCAUGGGCCAUCUUGACCUCCCUUUCUCUCUCUUCUUGGGCUAAUCUGGCAUUUCUUUCUUUUUCUUUUCCCUCAUGAGCUAAUCUGCUCUCUCUCUCCGCCAUAUCUCUCUCAGCCUGUAUCUGUGCUAACUGAAUGUCAGCUACAAUUCUGGCCUGUUCAGCUGCUAUUCUUGCUUUCUCCUUUUCUUUCUCUGCUUCAACUUAUGUCUUUCUUUCUCUGUUUCAACUUUAUGUCUUUCUUUCUUUCUUUGCUUCAACUUUAGCCAAUUCUAAUACUAGCCUCAGCAUUUCUAAUUCAGUAUUGGGAUUCUCCUCAGAUGCAACAGCUCCCUGUACUGGGUCAUCCUGAAUCUCUUUUGCCUGGUGCUUGCUGGCCAUUUUCUGACAGAAAAAAAUUCUUCUUUCAAUAAAAUAACCUCAGUACUUUAUUAAACUGGAUGUUCUAUAUCUGCACGUUUCUGUGGGGUUUUUAACUUCGUAUCACAGCGCUGCCACUACUUAAUAUGCAAGGGCGCAAUGGCUCUCUCUCUCCCUGGCGCUGCUGCGCCAGCCCUCUGUUUCCCUUUCCCUCAGGUGAAAUCCCCAAUGGAGAAUGAAUCACGAGUGACAGUCAGUAUUUUCCAUCACAACAUGCCACUCUUCUUUUCAGAAGCUUAGUUUGAUCAGCAUCGAGUAUACAACUCGAUGCUGAUCAAACUACAAACUACAUUACUUCUGGUAAAUGAGCCACCUUAGCUGCUAGAGGGCCAUGAAAAUUUGUGUCCCAGACUGUUUCUUGUCUGCCCGUGUUGUAUCUGAAACCCGAGGAGCACAUUGGUUGCCAGAUGUGAAAUACAUUGGCAAUAUUUGCAUUAAGGGGCAUGACGAACUCAGAUCUAUUAAUUUUUAGUAUGCCUGUUCUUACGACCUUUUAAAUGUGUUUGUUCGAGUGGAGGGCAUUGUUUUGUUUUGGGCUUUGUUUUAACUAUUUGUUUUGUCCUUUUACCCUGUAUUUUUUUUCUUGUGAACCUCCCCGAGACCUUCAAAUGAAAGGCGGUGUAUACAUUUAAUAAAGAAUGAAAAAAAUAAAUAGUUGACUACAGCCCCUUGUUGUCGUUGUGGGAGUUCUUCCAACAGAACAUCCAACCACCAGCAUUGAGAUGGAAGAAUCUCCUUUCCCAAACUGAGUGGUAGAACAUCUGCUUAGCAGGCAGCAAGUCCUCAGUUCAAACUCCAGCAUUUCCAAACUCCUGUUUGAAAUUCUGAAUUGCUGCUUGCAGUCAGUCUAGACCGUAUUGUGCCAAAUGUCCCACUGGUCAGACUCUGUGUAAGGCAGCUCCCCGUGUUCCUAAGCAUUCUAAAUGGAGUGCAUUUGUUAAGGAAUGCAGACUCUCCAAGUUUCCAUCCCUGUUUUUGAUAUGAUCCUUAGGAUGUCCCUAUUUUCACUGGAGAAAAGCUGGAGGGUAUAGGAAUGACUCCAUCUCACUAAGAACCAGCAGGCUACCAAGAAGCUGGGGAUAAUGUGGGAUGUAACUCGCCCAGCUUCCCUCAAUAUUGUGGACCAGUGUUCUUUGAAUAUUGUUGAAACAGAUCAUGGUUCAAAUUCUGCAUUGGUUGAGGUUAAAUCUCUCCUUACCCGGAUAAAUAAAUUAGAACUCUUUCCCCCCCCCAACAUAUUUUUUUUUUAGGGAAAAAAGAAGAAACAAUUUAGCACAGCUUGCAAGCCCCCUCCACAGAGGCUGGCCCCCUCACUGUCCUCGGAGCUUGCAUACCGGUAACCUCCUCUGGCUGACGUCCAGACAGACCAGGGAGAUUUUGAUAGGCGACAUUUUCCCAAGCGUGGGUAAAUGCACACCCCCUCCUCCUGCUUCUUCCCUAGCAGGGAAAGAGACAGACAGAAACUUCUAUUUAUAUUCUUUUAUUUCUGUCUACAGCACUAGAGAAAAACAU